rnacentral:rRNA from 1 species
GCGAGUGAAGCGGCAAAAGCUCAAAUUUGAAAUCUGGCACCUUCGGUGUCCGAGUUGUAAUUUGAAGAAGGUAACUUUGGAGUUGGCUCUUGUCUAUGUUCCUUGGAACAGGACGUCACAGAGGGUGAGAAUCCCGUGCGAUGAGAUGCCCAAUUCUAUGUAAAGUGCUUUCGAAGAGUCGAGUUGUUUGGGAAUGCAGCUCUAAGUGGGUGGUAAAUUCCAUCUAAAGCUAAAUAUUGGCGAGAGACCGAUAGCGAACAAGUACAGUGAUGGAAAGAUGAAAAGAACUUUGAAAAGAGAGUGAAAAAGUACGUGAAAUUGUUGAAAGGGAAGGGCUUGAGAUCAGACUUGGUAUUUUGCGAUCCUUUCCUUCUUGGUUGGGUUCCUCGCAGCUUACUGGGCCAGCAUCGGUUUGGAUGGUAGGAUAAUGACUAAGGAAUGUGGCUCUACUUCGGUGGAGUGUUAUAGCCUUGGUUGAUACUGCCUGUCUAGACCGAGGACUGCGUCUUUGACUAGGAUGUUGGCAUAAUGAUCUUAAGCCACCC